GCGGAUGCCUUGGCUCUCGGAGGCGAUGAAGGACGUGAUAAGCUGCGAUAAGCUUUGGGGAGGUGCAAAUGACCUUUGAUCCAGAGAUUUCCGAAUGGGACAACCCAAUAUCUUGAAGAGGUAUUAUCCAACGUUGUUGGAGGCUAACGCAGGGAACUGAAACAUCUUAGUACCUGCAGGAAAAGAAAAUAAACAAUGAUUCCCCCAGUAGUGGCGAGCGAACGGGGAACAGCCCAAACCAUCCAUGUUACGGCAUGGGUGGGGUUGUAGGACUACGCCGUUGCAUGAAGACAUCAGAGAAGAACUUUCUGGAAAGAAAGACCAUAGAGCAUGACAGUUGCGUAUUCGAAUGUUGUCGAAGCAUAGUAGUAUCCUGAGUAGCGCGGAGCACGAGGAAUUCUGCGUGAAUCUGCCGGGACCAUCCGGUAAGGCUAAAUACUCCCGAGAGACCGAUAGCGAACCAGUACCGUGAGGGAAAGGUGAAAAGCACUUCGAACAGAAGAGUGAAAUAGUUCCUGAAACCGUGCGCCUACAAGCGGUCGGAGCUCGUUAAUGAGUGACGGCGUGCCUUUUGCAUAAUGAACCUACGAGUUGCCUUUGCCGGCAAGGUUAAGUGUGACGACACACGUAUCCGAAGCGAAAGCGAGUCUGAACAGGGCGUAUAGUCGGCAGUGGCAGACGCGAAACCAAGUGAUCUACCCUUGGCCAGGUUGAAGGCUGGGUAACACCAGCUGGAGGACCGCACCAAUAAGCGUUGAAAAGCUUCUGGAUGAGCUGAGGGUAGGGGUGAAAGGCUAAUCAAACUUGGAGAUAGCUCGUACUCCCCGAAAUGCAUUUAGGUGCAGCCUUGCGGGUUACUGAUGUGAGGUAGAGCGACUGAUAAGAUGCGAGGGCUUCACCGCCUAUCAAGUCUUGACAAACUCCGAAUGCGCAUCAGUUCUACCGCAGGAGUGAGGGCAUGGGUGCUAAGGUCCGUGCCCGAGAGGAGAAGAAUCCGGACCACCUGCUAAGGUCCCGAAAUGACAGCUAAGUUAAACUAACGAAGUCUGACUGCUAAGACAGCUAGGAUGUUGGCUUGGAAGCAGCCAUUCAUUUAAAGAGUGCGUAACAGCUCACUAGUCGAGGAGUCGGGCGUGGAUAAUAAUCGGGUAUGAAGUUGUCUACCGAAGCAGUGGGAUCAUUUAUAUGAUCGGUAGGGGAGCAUUCCAGUCAGCGUCGAAGGCGUACCGUGAGGUAUUCUGGAGCGUCUGGAAAAGCAAAUGUAGGUAUAAGUAACGAUAAAGGGGGCGGGAAACCCCCUCGCCGAAAGACUAAGGUUUCCUGAUCAACGCUAAUCGGAUCAGGGUCAGUCGGGUCCUAAGGCUCAGCCGAACGGCGAUGCCGAUGGCAGAAACGGUUAAUAUUCCGUUACUACCUUCAGGAGUGACGUGGAGACGCAGUAGUGACAGUGCCGCCAUCUGACGGAAUAGAUGGUUGAAGGGUGUAGGAGUCGAUCAUGGCAGGCAAAUCCACCAUGAGAUCCGAACCUGAUAGUAUGCCGCGUCCUUCGGGACAAGGCAAUAGUGCGCGUAAGCAUGCUGCCGAGAAAAUCCGCUAAACUUAAUCCUGCAGGUACCCGUACCGCAAACGGACACACGUAGUCGGGAUGAAUAUUCUAAGGCGCUUGAGUGAUUCACGGUUAAGGAACUAGGCAAACUGACCCUGUAACUUCGGGAUAAAGGGUCCCUACCCUUUUAUGGGAGGGCGCAGAGAAUCGGUCCAGGCAACUGUUUAACAAAAACACAGGGCUGUGCCAAAUCGAAAGAUCCAGUAUACAGCCUGACACCUGCCCGGUGCUGGAAGGUUAAGAGGAGAUGUCAUCGAUAAGAGAAGCGUUGAAUUGAAGCCCCAGUAAACGGCGGCCGUAACUAUAACGGUCCUAAGGUAGCGAAAUUCCUUGUCGGGUAAGUUCCGACCUGCACGAAUGGUGUAAUGAUCUGGACGCUGUCUCAACCGUGAGCUCAGUGAAAUUGUAGUAUCGGUGAAGAUGCCGAUUACCCGCGAUGGGACGAAAAGACCCCGUGAACCUUUACUAUAGCUUAUCAUUGAAUCUGGGCACGUGAUGUGUAGGAUAGGUCGGAGGCUUUGAAGCAGGUACGCCAGUAUUUGUGGAGCCGCUGUUGAAAUACGACCCUUUAUUUGUUUGGAUUCUAACCCGUGGAUACGGGGACAUUGAUUGGUGGGUAGUUUGACUGGGGUGGUCGCCUCCAAAAGCGUAACGGAGGCUUCUAAAGGUGCCCUCCGGCCGAUUGGUAACCGGCCUUAGAGUGUAAUGGCAUAAGGGCGCUUGACUGGGAGACUGACAAGUCGAUCAGGUAGGAAACUAGAGCAUAGUGAUCCGGUGUUUCC
rnacentral:rRNA from 1 species